ensembl:lncRNA
CACCCUCCUUUGCUCUCAUUUUCCCCUCGCUGUCAGCCUCUCCCUCUUCCACCAACACCGCCACCCCCGUCUCUCACGCUAUCUCUCUCUCACUCUCUCUCUGAGGUUUCUUCUCUUUAUUGGAUGGUGCAGAAGCAGAACCACAAACCAAUUUCAGUCACUCUCGCAAUGAGGCUUGACGGGCCCAAUUUGUCUCCCUCCGGGGCAAUAGGAUCCACUCCAGUGUCCCUCAAAAGACCCCUUUCUUGCGGAGAGAGAGGGAGCUUUUUGUUUGGUGACAAUUGCAAUUGAGCACUCGCAGUUCAUGUGACUCAUUCAAAUCCUGUGCUCCUGGCAGUGUGCACGUUGCAAAGUGAACUGCGGUAUGUCAUCAUUCGCGGUGAUUUCUCGUUUUCCUUUUUUUCCGUAAGCAACAAUCAAACUGUACAUUGAGUGCCUUUUUAACAAAGCUUCCAAAUAAUUCCAAAUCAUCUGUGUAAUUGUUAAUAAAGCAAAGCACAUGGAAGAGCUUGUUAAAGAAGCUGUGCUGAGGAAACGCUACUCUAUGGUGCUAAAGAUGAAGCUGUCUUGGGCUUCUGCCUUUCAUUGCGAUCGGUGAUUUUCUGUGGUGAGCCGGCCACUGUUGAUCACUUGGCCGCCAGCUCGAUCUUAACCGGCCUCCUGUCCACUCGAUGACACAAAAAAAUUGUUCCCGAAGUGAACUACACUGUAAAAGCCAUAUUUUUAUUUUCCCUCAGUCGCACCGCGAACACCCUCUGAAGAUUCCUGUCUUCCAUCCACCGACGGACAUCAGAAGCCAGACGUGUCACUCGAGCUGUCCCUCAUUGACUGUUAUCCAGUCACAUCAACACAUUGGGCCUUUCCUUUCAUCUGAUCUACCACUCAGCAUCUGCUUUCGCUCGCCUUCAGGCUACGAUCUGCUCUUAUCUCCCGUGGAACAAGUCCCUUCCACCUCCAACUGCUAACAAGUCACUGUUGGGCUUUAGGGUUCCCUCGUCGUGCCAACGCUGCUCAUCUGCUCACAACUGUUCGUUUUUAAGUGUCCUGACAAAACAACAGAGCUGCUACACUUUACCAGUUUUAAGCUAGUGUGUGUUUUUGUGUGUCUGGUGUAUAUGUGAAGAGUUGUUUGUGUUAGUGUUUCAACCUUUAGCAAGGUUAUGAGUACAGCAUAGCUAAAACCGAGUUCUCUAGACUUUUACAGCUGCUGUUUUAUAGAGUACAGGAGACAUUUUGAAGCUUAAUAGGACUCAUAAUGCAGGAGUUGCACAUCAGAGAGCAGAGCGUCCUACAAAUGGCCUGAGAUUCAAUAGUAAUGGCAUUAUGGGAAAUGGGAUUACAAAUAGCCAAGAGAUUAUGGGGGGGGAAAUGCACAACAAAAGGAUAUCAGUUCUAUUUUGCUAAUGGAAAUUCAAGAAAGAAAAAGAUGUUAAGGCAGGUGUUUGCUACUAGUGCACAGUACCAAUAUUUCACAUAGAUCUGAAAGAUUACCCAACAAACAGAAAUGGCUUUUUCUUAAUAGCACAAUGGCAUAAUGUACCUUUUCAGAAUACAAAUACCUUCUCCGAAGUUUACAGAGGGCAUGCCUGCAAUUUUAAGGAGGCAGGAGCAGAAACUGCUCCCAUUCAGCCCGUGUGUCAGCACAAACCAGAAGCCAGCCAUACCCAGAAAGAAAGUGGGUGCGUAAAAAGAAAAAGAGGGGGUGAUCGUUAGCUCCUGUUGCCAGGCAGAAAGUGGCCCUAGCCUCAAGUUUCUUUGUCGCGAUGCAGCGGUGUGUUCCCCGUACAGGACUGUAGGAGGUGACCGAUGCGACCCCCCCCCGUGCUAAUUAAGAGCACAUUCUCACCCCUUCUUUGUCCAUCACACCAACACCUCCCUCCCUUUUUGUACACAGCCACUCAUCAUUUUAAGUUUUCUGUGUGAUGUGCGGUACCUCGCUGUCACACUUGACUUUCCUCUUCUUCAAGUUCACAGUAGCCACCGUAUGUCCUUUUCAGCUUUUAGACGGAAAUCUGUUCAUCGCUGUUACGGCUGCUUUAAAGUGCCGGCGUCCAUUUGGAACAAGACACCGUAAUCUGAAAAGAAUCCAUCUGGAGUAGUUGAUCUGAUUAGGAUGCCUCAUGGGAAUUGGGAUGCCACUGGGUGGAGACCCUGGUGCAGGCCCAGGAUGCACUGGAGGGGAAUAUGUACAUCGGUUAGCUUGGGAAUGCAUGCUCCACCAGAAGAGCCGAGGGACGUGGCUUCAGAGAGGGAGGUCUGGGCCUCUCUGCUUAGACUGCUGCCACCCGUGACCUGGACCCAGAUAAAUGGCGCAAAAUGGGUGUUACUUUUGAGAUAUUUAAUAAAUUUAAUCAUGAGAAAGUACAUGGAAGGAAAGAGGGAUCUCUUAUGACCAGAAAAGGAGGCAUUGUCCAUUGUUGAGAGAAGUUUUGACAAUGUCAUUUUCCCUUCUCUGCUACUUCGGUGCACGAGCAUGUGAGAGUCCUGCUGGAAUCAAAAUUUGCAAGCAACAAUAAUUUGCAAAUCCUACCAUCUGGGUUCUCACAAAUCGCUUUAGUGAAACAGGCCCCUGGACUGUAGUCCAAUGUGAUGCCUGCUCACUGAGGAGGGACAGCAGUUUGUAGGGGUAAUAUCCAUGCUGGCUUGUUUUUCAGAUUAUGGGCCCUACUGGUGCUCUUUACACCUCUUUUUUCCCUACUCAGCUGUCAGGAGGAUAACCAGUUGCUGCGAGUUUGCCACAAAAGUUGUCGUAAAGUUUCUGCAAUCAUGAUGUGAACAACUUAAAUUUGUGUUUAGACAUUCCUCUGUCUCAUAUCUAAAACUCACACAUCUGAAACCCUUAAAGAAACCCGAAUCCGAUGCUCAGCAUUUUCUUCCAACUUCUGUUUGAUGCAGGAAGAUGAAAAAAUACUGUGCAUACCUAAUGAAGUGCAGAUCUUGAGAUGUUACCUACAUCCCAGUUUUCUCCGGUGUAAGUCUUUCAUGGCGCGGUGCUUAUUUCACUGCCUUUAAGGAGGACUUUUUCUUUUUAAACCCAAUCCGUCCCUUUCUCACCAUUACUCACAAUCACUGCCGCCUUCCUUAAAUCUGCCCCAGAAAAUCAUUUAUGUAGUGUGGCUUCCGCACUGUCAAAGGAAUAAACUCAUUAGAUGUAUUACACGUCACGCUCAGUUUUCACGAGGCUCUUGUGGAUUCAUUCGUCGUGAACGGAGUCGCAGCCAUUGCUCAUUGAUUGUCGUGUGUUAGGAAAACAGUAGUUCAGAGUUACUCUCACAGACCAAGUGUAAAGGAGAGCUGUGGCUCAAUAAGUCAUCACAGACCAGCACAACCACACACUUACGCACACACACACACUCUAUCCGAACAUAUAAUGCAGUGGGAAAAUUGCUCCAGCUAACCCCCUCCCUCCCCGCAAGAGUGAGGCCCUGUGCUUUUUAAUUGAUGCUUCGGUCCACCUUUGAUGAGGGCUGAUCGAUUGGCCACACAACCCCAGGAGCUCAGCCACUCAGCCAGCCAGCACAGCCCUCGUGGAGUUCAAACGUCUCCCUGAGAAAUCCCGAAUCUAAUGAUCACUAGGAAAUGGCCAACCGAAUAUGUUAAGAUAGCCGGCACAGAGAGUGCAUUAGGCAUGGGACUCAUUUACCAGAUAAAAAGAGGAACUAUUUAUUAGGACAGCAGAGCGGUUUUUAAUUUGUUUUGGGGGUUUAUUUUGUGUUGUUUUUUUAUUAUUAGUUUUCUCUCUUUUAUUUUUUUUUGGUUUGUUUUGGGUUUUUUCUUCCACUUUUCUUCAUUUCAGCGCCGAGGAGGACACAGUCACGCCUCGCACACGCUGCUCAGUGUGUGUGAACUUGGAGAAAUUAUCUGUACAUCUGUGGAUGUUAGGAUUUGGAUUUUAUGAGUUGUUUUUUUCUCUCUGAUGAAGCUUUCAAUAAAAAAAUGUGGAAAAAAAUCA